UAUUAAAAGUUUUAUUUAUUUGUGUUGUCAAAAAGUGACGUGACUAACAUAAGAAUCAAACAAUGACACAUGGUAUGUCAUAUGUACUUCAUGCUGAUAUACAAUAAUCAAUUUUUAACAGUGGAAAUGAAUGAAAUUUUUAACA
rfam:Gossypium arboreum cultivar AKA8401 contig_62481_1, whole genome shotgun sequence.